UACAGAGGGUGCAAGCGUUGCUCGGAAUCAUUGGGCGUAAAGGGUAGGUAGGUGGUCUCGUUUGUCUGGGGUGAAAGCCCAGGGCUUAACCCUGGAAGUGCCCCGGAAACGGCGAGACUGGAGUAUUGGAGAGGGUCGUGGAAUUCCCGGUGUAGCGGUGAAAUGCGUAGAUAUCGAGAGGAACACCUGCGGCGAAGGCGGGUUGCUGGGCUGACACUGACGCUGACAGCGCGAAAGCUAGGGGAGCGAACGGG
rnacentral:rRNA from 1 species